UUGUUCCUGCAACACAUGUACUAAAAUUAAAAUGACACAGAGAUCAGCAUGCCCCUACGAAAGGAUGACAUGAAAUUUCUUGAAACUUUCCAAAAUAAA
rnacentral:snRNA from 1 species